GACACUAUAGCCAAGUGGUUAAGGCGACAGAUUAGAACUCCACGUAUGACGAGCAUCUGUUUCCCUUUGGGAGCGUAGGUUCGAACCCUACUGGUGUCG
rnacentral:tRNA from 1 species